rnacentral:tRNA from 1 species
GCCUUUGUGGUGUAGGUCAGCACGAUGGGUCCGUAUUCCAAAAAUCAGUGGUUCGAGCCCCGGCGAAGGCA